UACGUAGGCAGCAAGCGUUGUUCGGAGUUACUGGGCGUAAAGGGUGCGUAGGCGGUUGUUUAAGUUUGGGGUGAAAUCUCCCGGCUCAACUGGGAGGGUGCGCCGAAUACUGAAUGACUAGAGUGCGGGAGAGGAGAGUGGAAUUCCUGGUGUAGCGGUGAAAUGCGUAGAUAUCAGGAGGAACACCGGUGGUGUAGACGGCUCUCUGGACCGUAACUGACGCUGAGGCACGAAAGCGUGGGUAGCAAACAGG
rnacentral:rRNA from 1 species